rnacentral:lncRNA from 1 species
GUGACAAAAAGCUCAAUUUAUUUAAUUUUAAAUUCAGGAUGUAACACAACAAAAUGUGGAAAAAGUCAAAGGGUGUGAAUACUUUCUGAAGGCAUUGUAUGAUACUGACUUGUAAGUCUCUGUGCUAUGUCCCCGUAUGGGGCACUCGAUUCAGUACCCUCUGUUCAGUGAUGGUCACAGCCCCGCCAAACUUUCUGCAGUAGCCUGACAGGCAGCAGUGGGUGUGCAGGACAGGCCAGGCUAGGUGUUUGUGGUUGGAAAAUGGUCUGACAUAUGAGGCUGUCUUUUACACAAAAUCUUGUCUCUCCCCCGCUCCCGCCCUCGUAGUGUCUGGAGAAGUUGGACUGGAGUGUGAACCCGCUGGGUGACGGACCCUGUCCUGCCUGCUGUCAGCCUGCCCCCUAAUGGCCAGCUUCCCCCUGCUGGCCUGCAUCUUCAAACCCUGCUGCUUGUAGCUACACAGCCUCCUACGGGCCAGCGCCUUCGCAGGAAUAAAGCAACACCGCCUCUUACUGGCCAGCACACUGGCAGGAACAGGGCACCUGAAGUUGGUGAAUCUGUCCCAUAAUGCCCUGUGCUCUAUGGGCUUUGAGCUGGUCCUGAAGACUCUGCCUCUCCAAUGUCUCACUCAACUCGAUCUGUCUGCCAUCCGCUGUGGAACCGCUGACCACCCUCCUUCAAAACAUCUGACGAUGACUGCUCCCUGACCCACCUGA